UGUCCCAAGGAAUCCUGGAUAGCACUGACUAAAAUGGUGCGUUGGGAUGCUAUCGAAAACUUUUACAUUUUGAAACAAACAUGGGAACAAGCAUCAGUUGUUACACCUCUGUAAUUACAGACUUCAAUUACCACCAGUUACAUGUUGUUAUUACAGUGUAACUAUGAAUUAUCACAAUUCAUUACAAUACUUGUAAUGAAUUAAACUGUAAUAAGUCCUUAUUACAGCAAUCACACUGUAAUAAUGAACCUGAAAAUGAAGUGUUACGCAAUCAUUUGAAAAAAACGUUCAAAUACUUCCAAUAGAAGUAGUUGAUUUGGGCCACACUAUUUAAAAAUACUCAAAGACACAGAAAAUAUGUAUUGAAAUAGAAAAUGAUCAAAUACACAUAUAUUUCAACCCAGGUCUGAAACUUACUGUACAUUGCUAUUAUUUUGAUGGCUACACAAACUAAUAGUAUUAUAGGUGUACUAUGUCUUUGAGUAGGAGCGUCAUCACAUUGCCUGGAGAGAAAAAGGACUGCUGGAUUAAAUCAGUUUGCUCUGGCAGGGAUUCCCCAAAUGGUUAUUCUCAUUAGAGUGAAUGACGCCUGUCCAUUGGUGAAGAAAGACCUGAAAAACAUCUAUCUGAGCAAAUGGAGCAGCGCAGUACUAAACUGGGAGUACCAGUAAACUGCAUCCAGCCUGUGAAGAACUACCAUGAGGAAAUAAACUUGGAUGAAGACAUGAAUGUGCUGCUAUUGAGGGUUCGGCUCAAUUUGGCAGAUUACUUCAUCAGAAAGCCCCCACAAGAUAUCAAGUGUUGUGUUCAAGACCACCUAAAGGGAGACUGAUUCAAGAUCGAGACCGGAGCAAAUCCAGUCAGAGUCGAGACCAAGACUGGAGGGUGGAAGAGACAGAGACAAGGCCGAAUCUAGGAAAAUGCGAGUCCAAUUCAAAAGACCAUGGUUGCCACUAGGGCUGUACCAAGUACUCGGACAAAACGAGUAUUGUAAUGGAUAUGGAGAAUUUUCAGAAUAUGACUAUGACACAAGUCUUUUUUUAAAUUAUCUGUAAUCUGAUUAUCUGUCAUUUUUGCUGCCAGCACACAUCUCUCUUUCACUCAAAGUGUGAAGCUCUGUGUUCUCAAAACAACUAUGGGCUAGUUCUUCUGUCUUAAUUGGAACAGUAUAUGGGGCAAGUGAAUUAGCCUACCUUCAUCUAAAUCUGUCUGGGUUAAAUGCAGGCAGUAGUAACCAGCCAUGCAUUAGGCUAUUUAUUAACCUUUUCCGUUGAUAAUUGAAUAGGAUUAAGUAAGUAAAUCAUGUGCAUUUUGAUCUGUCGGGGUCAUUUACCUUUGAACAAUGUGUGUGAAUGAGUGAAUGAACAUAAUGAUGCUCUCUGAGGAGCGCUUUGAGUGAUAGCGCAGUAAUUCACACUUGAGGUAUAGGCUUUACCGGCAUUUAAAGCGCACUCCAGGGUUUCUGAUCAAGAGCAAUCAAGAGUAAAUCCGAUUAUGUCGGCACACCCCACGUUGUCACCAUAAUAAGAGUUCAAAAUGGCCACUGUGUUCAUACAGUAUUUCACAAGAACAUAUGAAUUCUUUAGACAUUCAGAAUGGUGACAAAUGCAUGCUGAGGGCAAAUAGAGAGCCACUCUACAAAUGAUCACUAACUCAAACAGGUCUAUAACAGAUAAAAGUAUAAAAUACAUUCUCCCCUGACUAAUAGUGAGCGAGCAACUUUCAAACAAUGAUCCCCACUUUUCCCUAUCAGCAAAUCAAGGAAAUGAUGAGGAGCACUACAAAGUUUUAGGAUAUUUUUCAAUGAAAGUAAAGGACAGUAAUGUUAAGAGUAAAGUAGGAAGACCAGAAAAUAGUCCAUAAGAUAUUAAUGUGUCAUGAAAGGAGUGUGGCUAUUUGCGCUGGCAAAGCGGUUUUAUGGGAUCUGAUAAUUAUGAGUUUUUCACUCCCCUGGUAUUGGUUGGUUGUCGGCAAGAAAUGACUAGUAAAAAUGUAUCUGACACCAAGACAAGACCGAGACACUCCUAGGCCAGACUUGAGUAGGCUACUACAACACUGAAGAUAACUGAGGGAUGCAUACAUUAUCCAGAGUCACUAGCCUACACUGAAUCAUAAUACAAGUGGGUCUGUCAUACAGCCACAUAAAACCCCACAGAAUAGUGAAGGCUACUUCUUCCUGUCAUUUCUUUCACAUUGUUUGCUUAUAACUGAUGAUCCCUCUUGAGUAGGACAAUUUUGCCACUUGUUUUUUCUGUUGGUUUGUUUUUGUCUGUUGUUUAGGUCUUUGGGUUUGUGAGAUAGUGGGUUACAAAUACAAUGUAUAAUUUAUUGAAGAAAUAUGUAAUUUAUUGCAUAUAUUAUUUGUAUAUUUUAUUUAUUUAUUAUUUCGCUACUUUAUUGAGGAAAACUUUACUUACCAUGAUUGAUAGCUAUCUUAAGAUCAAUGCACUAACUGUAAAUCGCUCUGGAUAAGAGCUUCUGCUAAAUAACUAAAAUGUAAUCGUUAUUAGAGCAGGAUCUUAAAGUGUUUUGAGGACAAUGGAAUUUAAAUAAAGAUGCCUUUAUUAACAGUA